rnacentral:lncRNA from 1 species
GCAACAGCCACAAACGCCCCCAAAAGCAGCACCAGCAGCAGCAGCGCCAUCGUCAUCGUUAUGGCGUUGGCUCGGCCACUGGACACAAACAAACGAAAACAGAAAAAAAAAACACUCAGUUAUGCAAAGCGCAUUUGUGCAACGAUCGGCGGACCAUCGAGCGAACGAUCGUUUGGUUUGGAAUGGAAUACGCCUUGGCAUUCAGAACGCGCUGCAUUUCCUGCCCGCCACAAGAGUCGGGUCAAAAAACUCGCCCACACUUCAUAGAGCAAAGGAGGAGGAGGCAACGUCGCCAGAGACGAAGUCAGUGUCCAGUGUCCAGUGCCCAGUGCCCACAGUACCCACAGCCAGUGCCAGUGCCAGUGCCAGAGUUCGUUUGUCUAACUGUUAUAAUGCUUAAUUAAUUGAUGUGCCCUUUGGCCGAUUUAAAAUGCAGCUCAGCAUUGCUGUGGAUCGGCCAUAAAGACGUCUGGCUGGCGCCGGUUGCCAGAAUUUAGGGGUUUACCCUUUCGAAUCGAUGGCCAGUGCAUACCCUAAAGGGAGGACUACGGACCACGGACUCCGAACUCCAUUCAUGCCGAUCACUGUUCCAUUUCCAAUUAGUUGCACGUUCUCGCUAUGCUAAUGACUGUUGCCUGUUGCCUGUUGGCUGUUGCCUGGCAGCAGCAACAGCAGCAAAUGCAUCGAAUGUUCUUCUUUGUCGUGGAUUUUUCCACCUUAUCAUGUCCUUCCGCUAGCUUUUGGCAGACCGCUUUUGCAGCGGCUUUCUUUGUGUCUUGAAGUCUCUUUGACUUUUUUGACAAACUCACAUGUCAUUUGAUUUUAUGUUCACACGGGACAAUUUAUAUGCUAAUUUGCAGUAGGGGCCAUCAAAGGAAAGGCGCAAUCCAAGCCGUGUUGACGCUUGACGCUUGAUGAAGGUGUUAGAAACGUAAUUACGUUGCAUUUAAAUGCUCAAUUAGUGCGCAGACAACGACACUCGACAGUCGCGGCGGGCUCCCUUCAGAAGAUCCAUUCGACUCCAGAGGCUGAUGAUUGGUGGAACCGCGCGCAUGUCACAAACGACGCGAAACGAACCUCAAACGAUGUCGUUCCAGUUCUCCCACCCACCGUAAAGAGUGGUUCAUCUGCUGGCAUAGCAUCGUGGCUAACUAGGAAGAUGCUCUGAAAGGAGUUCUUGGGAGAGAAGUCUACGGGGGAACCACUCUAAAUAGUCGGUGCAACUUUUACUCUGCUUUCUCUCACAAUCAAAACUAUUGCCAAAUCCAUUUGUAGUCUAUUUCCUUUUCAGGUCACUUACUUCGUAUCUAAGCACUAAGUGGAUCCUCUGAUUCAGUGUGUGUGUGAAAGCCUUUUGUCCAGCGGAAAGGCAGUCCCCUCCCUCGCCGACUCGAUCUGGCGGGGUAAACUCCUAAAUUAUAAUAAACGUGUAAUCGUAAUGUGUGCUUAUGAACAUAAUCUGCGGGUGAUUUCGCAUGAAUUAGCGAUGCUAAAUGUCAAAUCCAUAUGAUAUCAGUGCAGUUCAAAAGCAUCGCCUUGGAUGGUGGUCUGUUCAACACAGGCCAGAGCUCGAGAGACGAUCCCCAACCGGUCUCUGUCAUAAAAAUGCAGAAAGAAAAGAAAACCAAUCCAAAGGCGAAUCCAAAGCAGAGCCAGCCACAUCUUCUGAGUCAGCGAUUGAUUCAAAUGUGCAGGCGAACGCAUUUCGCGAAUGCCAACACACACAUAAAAUCCGAAGUUGACUCUCUAGAAGUGGUCCACAGGUAGGUCCAUGGGAUGCCAGGAGGACUCUCCAGCUCUGCGAACGGACCAGGCACCCAAAACACUUUUGCACUUGUUCUGGCAGCCGUGCGGGUAAAUAAAAACCAAAUUUGCAUAGCAUUUUGUACACCAGAGCAGAGCAGAUCAGCUACGACUGACUGAUAAACUGGGGCUGCUCUGGAUCUACACCCCCCUUACCCUUCUUCUCCUCACUCUCUGUCUCCAUCUGCUCCUAAAGCAAAACAUUUUGAUGAUCGCGUCAGACUUUUACGACACACUUGGUGGCUAUUUAUGCGGUGCAUCUACGAAUAACCGCAUCUUGGGUGGUAUAUCGAGCAUUCGGAGCGGACUCUCGCACUCAUUAGCCGCUACACUACACAGCUACACACAGCUACACACUGCUACGAGUUGUGUGGGUCAUAAAUAUAUUGAUUUGUGGCAGAUGCACAGCCACGGCCACAGCCAC